AGAGCGUGUUUUGCGCGCAUGAAUGUCUCAGGUGUGCCCGCACAGUGCUAAAAAAAGAACAUUUUUGAAGCCUUCAGAGUCUGCAAAGAUGCUUUCAAUGAGAAUUUCCAGUAUUCAAGGAUUAUAAUCCAACAUUUCUAAUGGGCACUUCUGGCUGGCUGGAGAAUUUGGAAAUCUUGCACUUUAUAAUCCUCUUAUGAGACAGACAGGAGAGUGCUCAGCACCUAAAUACUGCAGAAGCACUCAGAAGAAAUAAAAAUGCAUUCUACUACGCUUUGGGAUUGUCUUCUCCUGCCCCAGUAAGCUUUGGAGCAGAGAUAUGUUGUUCUGAAGUCACAAAUGGGAUGAAUAUACAAAGAAGUACAGUAUAUUUCCAAUGUAUAAGAUGAUACUUUUUCUUAAAAAUAUUUACCUAAAAAUGGAGGGGUGUCUUAUACAUGGGGAGCGGGCAGAGAGGACAACUGCGGUUGCGAAAUUGCUGAUACCUUAUCUCUGCAAACAAGCCUCAUGAGCGAAAUUGUCGGUUGCCGAGACAAGCUAACAGAUUUCCUCCAAUCAUGAGCCUUAUGUGUUCUGACCCCCUCCUCCAUCCAGUAACGAAUGCCGAGACAAGCUUAACUGGAAUUUCACAGCAC